AAUGGCGGGUGCUUAUAAUGCAAGUCGAGCGAGGUUGCAGAUUGGGUAACUAAUUUGUAGCUUAGCGGCGGACGGGUGAGUAACGCGUGGGCAAUCUGCCCUUCAGCCUGGGAUAACAGUUCGAAAGGGCUGCUAACACCGGAUAUGGUGGUAUCGAGGCAUCUCGGAGCCAUGAAAGUUUACACUGAAGGAUGAGCCCGCGUCCCAUUAGCUAGUUGGUGGGGUAAUGGCCCACCAAGGCGACGAUGGGUAGCCGACCUGAGAGGGUGACCGGCCACACUGAGACUGAGACACGGCCCAGACUCCUACGGGAGGCAGCAGUAGGGAAUUUUCCGCAAUGGGCGAAAGCCUGACGGAGCAACGCCGCGUGAGGGAUGAAGGUCUUCGGAUCGUAAACCUUUGUCUAGAGGGACGAUAAUGACGGUACCUCUGGAGGAAGCCACGGCUAACUACGUGCCAGCAGCCGCGGUAAUACGUAGGUGGUGAGCGUUGUCCGGAAUUACUGGGCGUAAAGGGCGUGUAGGCGGCCUUUUAAGUCAGACGUGAAAACCCUGGGCUUAACCCAGGACCUGCGUUUGAUACUGGAGGGCUUGAGGACCGGAGAGGACAGUGGAAUUCCCAGUGUAGCGGUGAAAUGCGUAGAUAUUGGGAGGAACACCAGUGGCGAAGGCGACUGUCUGGACGGCACCUGACGCUGAGGCGCGAAAGCCAGGGGAGCAAACGGGAUUAGAUACCCCGGUAGUCCUGGCUGUAAACGAUGGGUACUAGGUGUGGGAGGUAUCGACCCCUUCCGUGCCGCAGCUAACACAAUAAGUA
rnacentral:rRNA from 1 species